GACGAACGCUGGCGGCGUGCUUAACACAUGCAAGUCGAACGAUGAAGCCGGGAUACGCGGACUUCGUUUCAAAUUUCACUUCGGAUUAGUGGCAGACGGGUGAGUAACGCGUUUGCAACCUACCUCUUACAAAGGGAUAGCCUCGCGAAACCGUGAUUCUUACCAUUUGACACAUUCAUAAGGCAUCUUCAGAAUGUUAAAGCUACGGCGGUAAGAGGUGUGCUCGCGUUCCAUUAGCUUGUGGGUGAGGUAACGGCCCACCAAGGGGACGAUGGGUACCCGGACUGGGAGGGCGAACGGUCACAUUGGAACUGAGACACGGUCCAAACACGUAAGGGAGGAAGGAGUGGGGAAUAAUGAACAAUGGAGGGAAGACGGAGGAAGCGAGGGCGCGUGAGCGAUGAAGGAAGGCGUUACGUAAAGCUCGGUUGUAAGGGAAGAAAAGGAAUGUAAAAGAGGAGAAAGCCCCGGCUAAAUAAGUG
rnacentral:rRNA from 1 species